CCUCCACCAAGUUUCCGCGCCCACUGCUCCCGCCCCGACCCUCUGGGAUGGGGCGUGGCCUCCCGGGGCGGAACCCAAAGGAAACUCAGUGCCUGCGCCCUCUGCUGGUGAAGCGAGGAAUGGAAGGAAAGAGGUGGGAUCCAAGGUAGAACCUGCGCACAAGCCAAAGAGAAGCCUUGCCGUCCAUGUUCUUUAUGGCCUGGGCUUGUUGCCUCCGGGAGUGAAUCGUGGCUGUGCUCGCAUUAAGACAGGAACUUGA
rnacentral:lncRNA from 1 species